GUCUGCAGCCUCAGCACCCUGAAUGUGCCUGAUCUCAUCUGAUCUCGAAAGCUAAGUAGGGUCAGGCCUGGUUAGUACUUGGCUGGGAGGCAGAAAACAGGGAGAGAACAGUGUUGUAGAAG
rnacentral:rRNA from 1 species